ACCAUCAAGAUAGAGAUAUUCAAAUCCUCUUUACCUUCAAGAGAUUCAAACCCUAAUAACAAGAGUUGCUUUAAGAUUAUGCCUUAGUUAGUCAACCUUUCAUACCAUCCUUUGGAACCCUAACUUUUGUCUUUUCUUUCCUAAGUAGCAACACAAGUGGAUUUCUACAUUUCACUGAGUUCCAUGGCCUCGACAACAACUCCUCAGGGGUGGUGGUUCUUAUUCCAAAUGGGUAGGCACUCUUGUUGUUAUAGGCAGAAGCUAAGGAGGUGACUGAAGAAGGGAAGAUGUUUGUGUUAGAUGCCUAUGAUUACAAGGUUGCUUCGGUAGAUAAGACUAAAACCGAUGGUUACGUCUCUGAAACUAUGAUCCUUGGUAAAUUC